rnacentral:rRNA from 1 species
GAUGAACGCUGGCGGCGUGCCUAAUACAUGCAAGUCGAACGCUUUGUCUUUAAUUGAUAUGAAGAGCUUGCUCUGAUUUGAUUUUAUCUGACAAAGAGUGGCGAACGGGUGAGUAACACGUGGGUAACCUACCUCUUAGCAGGGGAUAACAUUUGGAAACAAGUGCUAAUACCGUAUAACACUAACAACCGCAUGGUUGUUAGUUGAAAGAUGGUUCUGCUAUCACUAAGAGAUGGACCCGCGGUGCAUUAGCUAGUUGGUAAGGUAAUGGCUUACCAAGGCGAUGAUGCGUAGCCAAGUUGAGAGACUGAACGGCCACAAUGGGACUGAGACACGGCCUAUACUCCUACGGGAGGCAGCGGUAGGGAAUCUUCCACAAUGGGCGCAAGCCUGAUGGAGCAACGCCGCGUGUGUGAUGAAGGGUUUCGGCUCGUAAAACACUGUUAUAAGAGAAGAACGACAUUGAGAGUAACUGUUCAGUGUGUGACGGUAUCUUAUCAGAAAGGAACGGCUAAAUACGUG